rnacentral:rRNA from 1 species
UACGAAGGGGGCUAGCGUUGCUCGGAAUCACUGGGCGUAAAGGGUGCGUAGGCGGGUUCUUUAAGUCAGGGGUGAAAUCCUGGAGCUCAACUCCAGAACUGCCUUUGAUACUGAAGAUCUUGAGUUCGGGAGAGGUGAGUGGAACUGCGAGUGUAGAGGUGAAAUUCGUAGAUAUUCGCAAGAACACCAGUGGCGAAGGCGGCUCACUGGCCCGAUACUGACGCUGAGGCACGAAAGCGUGGGGAGCAAACAGG